CAAGUCGGCCGGAUGGCAGCGCACCGAAAGGUGUGAGGAAAGUCCGAGCUCCACAGGGCAGAAUAGCUGUUAACGACAGCCGAGGGCGACCUCAGGGAUAGUGCAACAGAGAGAUACCGCCCGAUUUUAUCGGGUAAGGGUGGAAAGGCGAGGUAAGAGCUCACCGGCGCGCUGGCGACUGCGCGGCCAUGUAAACCCUAUUCGGAGCAACACCGACAAAGACAUAUCGCUUGCCCGGCGCGUCUUUAGGAGUGGCUAGAGCCGUAUGGCAACAUACGGUCGAGAUAGAUUGGCAUCUAAGACAGAACUCGGCUUACAGACCGACUUGCGUU
rnacentral:RNase_P_RNA from 1 species